rnacentral:rRNA from 1 species
GCACGUUAUGGUGGGCACUCUAAGGAGACUGCCGGUGACAAACCGGAGGAAGGUGGGGAUGACGUCAAGUCAUCAUGGCCCUUACGGCCUGGGCUACACACGUGCUACAAUGGUCGGUACAGAGGGUUGCCAAGCCGCGAGGUGGAGCUAAUCCCAUAAAACCGAUCGUAGUCCGGAUCGCAGUCUGCAACUCGACUGCGUGAAGUCGGAAUCGCUAGUAAUCGCGAAUCAGAAUGUCGCGGUGAAUACGUUCCCGGGCCUUGUACACACCGCCCGUCACACCAUGGGAGUGGGUUGCACCAGAAGUAGCUA